CGAAGAACAAGAAGAAGAAGGAAGACAGGACGAAUGCAGCUUCCCCACUCACUUGCCAACAUCACAGCCUUCUGCGUGCCAACGCAGGACCGGGUACAGUACCGCUGUUCGAAGAAACUCUUUGACGCCGACUUAGACCGCACUGCGUAUCUGGCUCUCAGUAUGUGCUGCUCCAACGAACCUUUUCGAUGCCAUCUUGGGUCACUAGCAUUCUGUACUUCUCAGGCGAGACCUGUUCCCCAGGUCUCGCCUGCGACCGUCUGGGAACCUGGUCUGAGACCUGAGCAGGACACACAAAAGAAGAGGCGUGGGAAGACACCCAUGUUGUGACAUGGCAAGACACUUUCCGGCAAGGAACAAUGACGGGUCUUCGAGCUCCAUCUGGCAAGGGUGAUCGCCUCAGUGUGCUCCACGCAGGCGGCAAGAAGGGCUUCGUAAAUGGAGCUCGCCUCGUCUUUCGUUCGAGGAAGAGUGUUGGUGAUAACCAUUCAGAGAUGGAUGCUCACGGUUGUUGAGAAGUUGUUUAUUGAACAAUUAUUGCCGAACAAUGAACUCACGAGCAUUAUUGUUAUAGAAAAUGCAAAUAUCAUAACGUUCAGCUUAAAAAGGUGAUAUUUAGUCGUGCAUGAGAAGGAAUAACAUUUCCUUUUAUACCGACCAGCGAAAUGCGUGGCUGCUGGUGAAUGUGAAUGAGCAUAAGCGCAUGUAUAUUGGGUGCAAAAUGGGCACCCUCACCAAAGCAGCUGGUAAUGAUGUUUUAACGCUAUCAUCGUAUCACUGCGAAUUCAAUCCUAUAGAGCUGCUUUGGAGUCAAAUGAAACGGUACGUGCGCGCAAGUAACGCAACUUUUAAGCUUGACAACGUAAAAAAACUUUCACAUGCAGAAAUUGACUUAAUAAGCGAGGAAAACUGCAGGCGGAAGUGCGUUCAUGUGGAAAGAAUCGAAAACGAAUUGAGGGGCAGGGGUGGUGAAAUUGACGACAAUAUUCAGACCCUGAUAAUCGAGCUUGGCUCAGAUUCGAGCACAAGCUCCGAAGGUAGUGUAAGUGAGCGAAGUACCUGGGAAUAACUACCGUGAAUGUAUUAGUUUGAUUCCUUGUGUUCCAUUUGGCAAAGGACACUUGCAAACCAAGCUUUUUUUCCAAUUUUCAUGAAGCCGCUGUUCGCGAUCUCACCUUUGUCGGUAACUGUUAUCUUGUCGAACUCUGUGUUAUAGUUCUAAUUCGUGUUCUCAUUUGUGUCUCGUAAAAAUAUUGUCUGCUGCUCACUGGAGGCGUCAAAAAUAAUUUUAAAAAUCUGCAUUGAA